GACGAACGCUGGCGGCGCGCCUAACACAUGCAAGUCGAACGAGCGAGAGAGAGCUUGCUUUCUCGAGCGAGUGGCGAACGGGUGAGUAACGCGUGAGGAACCUGCCUCAAAGAGGGGGACAACAGUUGGAAACGACUGCUAAUACCGCAUAAGCCCACGGGUCGGCAUCGACCAGAGGGAAAAGGAGCAAUCCGCUUUGAGAUGGCCUCGCGUCCGAUUAGCUGGUUGGUGAGGUAACGGCCCACCAAGGCGACGAUCGGUAGCCGGACUGAGAGGUUGAACGGCCACAUUGGGACUGAGACACGGCCCAGACUCCUACGGGAGGCAGCAGUGGGGAAUAUUGCACAAUGGGGGAAACCCUGAUGCAGCGACGCCGCGUGGAGGAAGAAGGUCUUCGGAUUGUAAACUCCUGUUGUUGGGGAAGAUAAUGACGGUACCCAACAAGGAAGUGACGGCUAACUACGUGCCAGCAGCCGCGGUAAAACGUAGGUCACAAGCGUUGUCCGGAAUUACUGGGUGUAAAGGGAGCGCAGGCGGGAAGACAAGUUGGAAGUGAAAUCUAUGGGCUCAACCCAUAAACUGCUUUCAAAACUGUUUUUCUUGAGUAGUGCAGAGGUAGGCGGAAUUCCCGGUGUAGCGGUGGAAUGCGUAGAUAUCGGGAGGAACACCAGUGGCGAAGGCGGCCUACUGGGCACCAACUGACGCUGAGGCUCGAAAGUGUGGGUAGCAAACAGGAUUAGAUACCCUGGUAGUCCACACCGUAAACGAUGAUUAAUGGGUGUUGGAGGAUUGACCCCUUCAGUGCCGCAGGUAACACAAUAAGUAAUCCACCUGGGGAGUACGACCGCAAGGUUGAAACUCAAAGGAAUUGACGGGGGCCCGCACAAGCAGUGGAGUAUGUGGUUUAAUUCGACGCAACGCGAAGAACCUUACCAAGUCUUGACAUCCCUUGACAGACAUAGAAAUAUGUAUUCUCUUCGGAGCAAGGAGACAGGUGGUGCAUGGUUGUCGUCAGCUCGUGUCGUGAGAUGUUGGGUUAAGUCCCGCAACGAGCGCAACCCUUAUGGUCAGUUACUACGCAAGAGGACUCUGGCCAGACUGCCGUUGACAAAACGGAGGAAGGUGGGGAUGACGUCAAAUCAUCAUGCCCUUUAUGACUUGGGCUACACACGUACUACAAUGGCGUUAAACAAAGAGAAGCAAGACCGCGGGGUGGAGCGAAACUCAGAAACAACGUCCCAGUUCGGACUGCAGGCUGCAACUCGCCUGCACGAAGUCGGAAUUGCUAGUAAUCGUGGAUCAGCAUGCCACGGUGAAUACGUUCCCGGGCCUUGCAC
rnacentral:rRNA from 1 species